GCCCACCUGGCCUCAGGCACAAACUAGAGUUCAUUUGGCUAUCAUUAAAGAGGACGAACAAUGUGGCACGCUGAUAUAAAAUUACCCGAUCUAUAAUGGAGAGGUAACGGCGUCUUGUGGCUCUCCAACGUGUGCCUGACUGUGUACUGAAAAGAGGAUGGAGAAGGCGAAAGCACAGAGAGAACUCUCACACAAACCUGUGAGUGCAGGGGCUGGACUGAACCACUGGAUUCAAGCCAAGGCCAGCACAAAGAACUCUGUCACAUCCCCAAGUUUUAUGGGAGGAAUAUAAUAUUCAUCUUGUGUGCUGUUGGAAUCAGGUAUGCAAAGCAAAAACGGCCCUGAUGGAGCGGACUACAGGAGGGGCUUCUCGCAUUGACGGCGCAGAGUCGAAGUGACAGCCAAUAAGGAGGCAAUCUACUUCAUGAAAAUCUAAUUAUGUGAUGAAUGGUGCAAUGUAUAGACUGUGGCACAGUAAUAUUGUACUCCCACCUGUGAACGUGCUAGCUGGAAAAACUGUUUAUGCUGUAGGCUGACUACUUUUUUAUACAUUGCAGUGAUGUGCUGAUACCUUAAAAGCAGUGUCCACAAACAUCUGCCUCAUGUAAAUUAAAUAAAUUUUGAGGAAAAAUGUACUUCAGUCAACAUUUAAAGACGUUUUUCAGUGGAUUCAAAUUUUAAAAUGAGCUAAAGUGUAAAGUUGCAGGCGUCGCUAAUUUGUUUUCUGUUGCUAUAGCUUCAGACUCUCUCACCUGCUUAGCAUUUACUGUACUUUCAGCUGAAGCCUUGCCAUAUUCUCCGUUAAUGGUUUCCAGACAUCAUUUUGGCUGAAGCACAUUGUUGUGACUGAGCCAGAUCUCUCUUCUGAAGCUAAAAACUGUGACUGGCUUAGAAAUGUUUGAAUGCUUUAGUUAAGCCUGAAUAUAGAUUUUCUUGGUUUUCCCAGAUCAGGUAAACCCAGAAAACUGGGCUGAACAUGAAGUGAAACCCUUUUCUUCAACUUUUAAGGCUUUAAAACGUCCCCGGAGCGUCACAUGUAAUGUGUCCCCGACAGCUUUCAGCAGUGUAUUCUGGUCUUAAAUUGUAUUAGCUCUGAAACUGUUUGCAGCUUUGCAGUAAUAAGGACCGUC